rnacentral:hammerhead_ribozyme from 1 species
AUCCAGUUGACGAGUCUCGAAUAGGACGAAACGUGCGUCCUGGAU